rnacentral:rRNA from 1 species
CUACGGAGGAUCCGAGCGUUAUCCGGAUUUAUUGGGUUUAAAGGGAGCGUAGGCGGACUAUUAAGUCAGCUGUGAAAGUUUGCGGCUCAACCGUAAAAUUGCAGUUGAUACUGGUCGUCUUGAGUGCAGUAGAGGUAGGCGGAAUUCGUGGUGUAGCGGUGAAAUGCUUAGAUAUCACGAAGAACUCCGAUUGCGAAGGCAGCUUACUGGACUGUAACUGACGCUGAUGCUCGAAAGUGUGGGUAUCAAACAGGAUUAGAUACCCUGGUAGUCCACACAGUAAACGAUGAAUACUCGCUGUUUGCGAUAUACGGCAAGCGGCCAAGUGAAAGCAUUAAGUAUUCCACCUGGGGAGUACGCCGGCAACGGUGAAACUCAAAGGAAUUGACGGGG